AUGAACGCUAGCGACAGGCUUAACACAUGCAAGUCGAGGGGCAGCGGGGGUAGCAAUACCCGCCGGCGACCGGCGCACGGGUGAGUAACGCGUAUGCAACUUACCUAUCAGAGGGGGAUAACCCGGCGAAAGUCGGACUAAUACCGCAUGAAGCAGGGGCCCCGCAUGGGGAUAUUUGCUAAAGAUUCAUCGCUGAUAGAUAGGCAUGCGUUCCAUUAGGCAGUUGGCGGGGUAACGGCCCACCAAACCGACGAUGGAUAGGGGUUCUGAGAGGAAGGUCCCCCACAUUGGUACUGAGACACGGACCAAACUCCUACGGGAGGCAGCAGUGAGGAAUAUUGGUCAAUGGGCGUAAGCCUGAACCAGCCAAGUCGCGUGAGGGAUGAAGGUUCUAUGGAUCGUAAACCUCUUUUAUAAGGGAAUAAAGUGCGGGACGUGUCCCGUUUUGUAUGUACCUUAUGAAUAAGGAUCGGCUAACUCCGUGCCAGCAGCCGCGGUAAUACGGAGGAUCCGAGCGUUAUCCGGAUUUAUUGGGUUUAAAGGGUGCGUAGGCGGCCUUUUAAGUCAGCGGUGAAAGUCUGUGGCUCAACCAUAGAAUUGCCGUUGAAACUGGGGGGCUUGAGUAUGUUUGAGGCAGGCGGAAUGCGUGGUGUAGCGGUGAAAUGCUUAGAUAUCACGCAGAACCCCGAUCGCGAAGGCAGCCUGCCAAGCCAUGACUGACGCUGAUGCACGAAAGCGUGGGGAUCAAACAGGAUUAGAUACCCUGGUAGUCCACGCAGUAAACGAUGAUCACUAGCUGUUUGCGAUACAGUGUAAGCGGCACAGCGAAAGCGUUAAGUGAUCCACCUGGGGAGUACGCCGGCAACGGUGAAACUCAAAGGAAUUGACGGGGGCCCGCACAAGCGGAGGAACAUGUGGUUUAAUUCGAUGAUACGCGAGGAACCUUACCCGGGUUUGAACGCAUUCGGACCGAGGUGGAAACACCUUUUCUAGCAAUAGCCGUUUGCGAGGUGCUGCAUGGUUGUCGUCAGCUCGUGCCGUGAGGUGUCGGCUUAAGUGCCAUAACGAGCGCAACCCUUGCCACUAGUUACUAACAGGUGAUGCUGAGGACUCUGGUGGGACUGCCAGCGUAAGCUGCGAGGAAGGCGGGGAUGACGUCAAAUCAGCACGGCCCUUACAUCCGGGGCGACACACGUGUUACAAUGGCGUGGACAAAGGGAAGCCACCUGGCGACAGGGAGCGAAUCCCCAAACCACGUCUCAGUUCGGAUCGGAGUCUGCAACCCGACUCCGUGAAGCUGGAUUCGCUAGUAAUCGCGCAUCAGCCAUGGCGCGGUGAAUACGUUCCCGGGCCUUGUACACACCGCCCGUCAAGCCAUGGGAGCCGGGGGUACCUGAAGUCCGUAACCGCGAGGAUCGGCCUAGGGUAAAACUGGUGACUGGGGCU
rnacentral:rRNA from 1 species